AAAAGAAUACAAUUAAAUCUUCAGUCGGGAAAAAACGAAAUGACUUUCCGAACAACCCUAUAUAUAUAUUAUGCACCUACAUUUUUGAGUACUACUCCUGUAAAAUGAAAACUAUUAGUACCUAAAAAUGGCUUAUACCAUUGGGGUGGAGUCUUUCUAUAAACCUGCCACAAUGUAACAAAAAUAUAUGAGAACCUUAUAAUUGUAACAAAUUCUCGAGAUAAUUCCUUUCGUAGUUCAAAUCAUCCCUCUCUUAAUGACUAAACUAGGGAAACGAACUUUAUUUUUAUGUCAAUGUAAAAAUUUAAUUGUAAGUCGAGAAAGGGGACAGAUCAUUAUUUAUGAAAAGCCAACAGCACAUUCUGUACUUUACAACAUGAUUUUGCCAAGAUAUGUUGUAAAUGAUAAUGAUUUUUUGAAAAUACCGAUGAUGCUUUUGUGAUAUUCAUGAAUGUAUGAUGCAAUAUAUGUGUUGUAUAAAUUAUUAUUUAGUGCUCACAUUUUCAUGAAUACUAUAAAAUUAUAUAUCAUUAUCGCAUUACCUCUUAAUUCAUUUAACGAUAAUUACUAUAGACACCCUGUAAAUUAUCCCUUUAAGGUGCUAAGUUCCGAUUUUAAUUGCUAUUAAAAGUAGUUACGUCAUAAUUUGAUAAUAUGGAUAGGUACAGCGUAAUAAUAAAAAAUACUUACUCUCUUUUAUUUAUAAGAUGAUUUUUCCAUGGUAAUUGUAAUUCGGGUGGUAAAAAUUAAGCUACAUGGCGAGUACAGGCAAGGCAUUAGUUGAUUAAAAAUAUAAAAUUGUUGGAAAAAAUAUAAAUCGUCCCUGACAUACAAAUAAAUGUUAUUAUCGUAUCACUUCGAUAUGGAAUUUCUGUGGAUGAAAUAGUUGGAAGCAGCUGCUUACUUUGUGAAGUUUAAGCAAAAGUUAAAACAAAACAUUAAUAAUAAAUAACAAUAAACCAGAGCGAUUUAUCAGGUUAUUGUAAACUCUUAUGUAUCUACUGAAUAUAUAUCCUAUGAAUAUAAACGAGUAUGCAGGUAGCUUUAUUGAUAUGUAAUGACAUGAAUUAAAAGCUUAUUGUCUGAAGUACCUGUUUAUAAAAGUUUGUGGGCUUCUUUAAUGAAUGAAUGAAUGAAAUAUGCAAUUGGUAGUUAUUACAGCUGUUUCUAUUUAGAAUACCUUAGAAAUUAGAAAUGCUUUGUAUUGAUUGAUUCACGGCUUCAAGUCAAGUAGUCGCAUUUGAAGUAUUUUGAAAAUAAAGUAUGUACAAUAGUU